rnacentral:rRNA from 1 species
AGAGUUUGAUCCUGGCUCAGGACGAACGCUGGCGGCGUGCCUAAUACAUGCAAGUAGAACGCUGAAGGAGGAGCUUGCUCUUCUGGAAGAGUUGCGAACGGGUGAGUAACGCGUAGGUAACCUGCCUGGUAGCGGGGGAUAACUAUUGGAAACGAUAGCUAAUACCGCAUAAGAUUGAAUAUCGCAUGAUAAUUGAUUAAAAGAUGCAAUUGCAUCACUACCAGAUGGACCUGCGUUGUAUUAGCUAGUAGGUGAGGUAACGGCUCACCUAGGCGACGAUACAUAGCCGACCUGAGAGGGUGAUCGGCCACACUGGGACUGAGACACGGCCCAGACUCCUACGGGAGGCAGCAGUAGGGAAUCUUCGGCAAUGGGGGCAACCCCGACCGAGCAACGCCGCGUGAGUGAAGAAGGUUUUCGGAUUGUAAAGCUCUGUUGUAAGAGAAGAACGAGUGUGAGAGUGGAAAGUUCACACUGUGACGGUAUCUUACCAGAAAGGGACGGCUAACUACGUGCCAGCAGCCGCGGUAAUACGUAGGUCCCGAGCGUUGUCCGGAUUUAUUGGGCGUAAAGCGAGCGCAGGCGGUUAGAUAAGUCUGAAGUUAAAGGCUGUGGCUUAACCAUAGUACGCUUUGGAAACUGUUUAACUUGAGUGCAGAAGGGGAGAGUGGAAUUCCAUGUGUAGCGGUGAAAUGCGUAGAUAUAUGGAGGAACACCGGUGGCGAAAGCGGCUCUCUGGUCUGUAACUGACGCUGAGGCUCGAAAGCGUGGGGAGCGAACAGGAUUAGAUACCCUGGUAGUCCACGCCGUAAACGAUGAGUGCUAGGUGUUAGGCCCUUUCCGGGGCUUAGUGCCGUAGCUAACGCAUUAAGCACUCGCUGGGAGUACGACCGCAAGGUUGAAACUCAAAGGAAUUGACGGGGGCCCGCAC